rfam:Operophtera brumata OBRT01_Sc03396, whole genome shotgun sequence.
CACCAGGCCCUUUUAAGAGCCACCAUAUAGAACAAUAAAAUAGUAU